UACGAAGGGGGCUAGCGUUGCUCGGAAUCACUGGGCGUAAAGGGUGCGUAGGCGGGUCUUUAAGUCAGGGGGGAAAUCCUGGAGCUCAACUCCAGAACUGCCUUUGAUACUGAAGAUCUUGAGUUCGGGAGAGGUGAGUGGAACUGCGAGUGUAGAGGUGAAAUUCGUAGAUAUUCGCAAGAACACCAGUGGCGAAGGCGGCUCACUGGCCCGGUACUGACGCUGAUGUGCGAAAGCGUGGGGAGCAAACAGG
rnacentral:rRNA from 1 species